UACGGAGGGUGCAAGCGUUAUCCGGAUUCACUGGGUUUAAAGGGUGCGUAGGUGGGCAGGUAAGUCAGUGGUGAAAUCUUUGGGUUUAACCCGAAAACUGCCAUUGAUACUAUUUGUCUUGAAUAUUGUGGAGGUCAGCGGAAUAUGUCAUGUAGCGGUGAAAUACUUAGAUAUGACAUAGAACACCAAUUGCGAAGGCAGCUGGCUACACAUAUAUUGACACUGAUGCACGAAAGCGUGGGGAUCAAACAGG
rnacentral:rRNA from 1 species